CCCAGCUUCCCAGGCUCACUUUUGAAGCAUCCCCGGAACAGAGAGAUUGUACAUCCAUGGGAAAGAAUACUUUUGCAACCAUCAAACACCUUCGGAAUAGGAAAAAGACCCAUCUAUAGUUAAUUAGCCUGCUAUGUAUGAAAGUGUAACAAGAACACCACCUACUGUAAAAGGGAAUGUUCUACACUCAGGAUGCUAAUUUAUUCAUGUCUGCACAAAGAGGGAAGACCGAGACUGUUAACCCUUGUCUGCCAGAGACUUUUGGAUACGCUCUAAAAUGAAUAUCACUAAAGACUCCUGCAAAGUUUAUUUGCUAGACAUCAUGAUGAGAGCAGAAUAACCAGUGUAGAUAUCAGAACAACAGAAUAACAUAUGUUCUGUUUAAAAUUAAUCUGGACUGAUGUGUGAAGUGGCAACAAUUUACAUUGCAAAUAAAUCUUAAAGCAGCUAUGAGUAUUUGCUUGGAAGUAAGCCCUAUGCAGUUUUCUCAUGUAAAUACAUAUUGAAGUGUAGCUUCAGUUGGUAUUGUUACAGAAACCAACAUGAUAAUCAAAUGAUCUAAAGGUGCAGAAAAUAAUCUCUCUCAUUUUCACUGACAACUUUCUUCACUACUUGUUAUUAAAGGUAACUUAUCAGAAUGUCUAAAUCAGGGAUGAGGAAUCUUUGGCCACCCAAGUACUAUUGGGCUCCAAAUGCC